CCCUGGGAGUAUCACACAAACUCAAGUAGCCAUUAGGUGAAAGAGGAUAUGUUGAAUAGGGAA
rnacentral:sRNA from 12 species